rnacentral:rRNA from 1 species
GACGAACGCUGGUGGCGUGCUUAACACAUGCAAGUCGAACGGAAAGGCCCUGCUUUUGUGGGGUGCUCGAGUGGCGAACGGGUGAGUAACACGUGAGUAACCUGCCCUUGACUUUGGGAUAACUUCAGGAAACUGGGGCUAAUACCGGAUAGGAGCUCCUGCUGCAUGGUGGGGGUUGGAAAGUUUCGGCGGUUGGGGAUGGACUCGCGGCUUAUCAGCUUGUUGGUGGGGUAGUGGCUUACCAAGGCUUUGACGGGUAGCCGGCCUGAGAGGGUGACCGGCCACAUUGGGACUGAGAUACGGCCCAGACUCCUACGGGAGGCAGCAGUGGGGAAUAUUGCACAAUGGGCGGAAGCCUGACGCAGCAACGCCGCGUGCGGGAUGACGGCCUUCGGGUUGUAAACCGCUUUCGCCUGUGACGAAGCGUGAGUGACGGUAAUGUGUAAAGAAGCACCGGCUAACUACGUGCCAGCAGCCGCGGUGAUACGUAGGGUGCGAGCGUUGUCCGGAUUUAUUGGGCGUAAAGGGCUCGUAGGUGGUUGAUCGCGUCGGAGGUGUAAUCUUGGGGCUUAACCCUGAGCGUGCUUUCGAUACGGGUUGACUUGAGGAAGGUAGGGGAGAAUGGAAUUCCUGGUGGAGCGGUGGAAUGCGCAGAUAUCAGGAGGAACACCAGUGGCGAAGGCGGUUCUCUGGGCCUUUCCUGACGCUGAGGAGCGAAAGCGUGGGGAGCGAACAGGCUUAGAUACCCUGGUAGUCCACGCUGUAAACGGUGGGUACUAGGUGUGGGGUCCAUUCCACGGGUUCCGUGCCGUAGCUAACGCUUUAAGUACCCCGCCUGGGGAGUACGGCCGCAAGGCUAAAACUCAGAGGAAUUGACGGGGCCCCGCACAAGCGGCGGAGCAUGCGGAUUAAUUCGAUGCAACGCGUAGAACCUUACCUGGGUUUGACAUGGAUCGGGAGUGCUCAGAGAUGGGUGUGCCUCUUUUGGGGUCGGUUCACAGGUGGUGCAUGGCUGUCGUCAGCUCGUGUCGUGAGAUGUUGGGUUAAGUCCCGCAACGAGCGCAACCCUUGUUCACUGUUGCCAGCACGUUAUGGUGGGGACUCAGUGGAGACCGCCGGGGUCAACUCGGAGGAAGGUGGGGAUGACGUCAGGUCAUCAUGCCCCUUAUGUCCAGGGCUUCACGCAUGCUACAAUGGCUGGUACAGAGAGUGGCGAGCCUGUGAGGGUGAGCGAAUCUCGGAAAGCCGGUCUCAGUUCGGAUUGGGGUCUGCAACUCGACCUCAUGAAGUCGGAGUCGCUAGUAAUCGCAGAUCAGCAACGCUGCGGUGAAUACGUUCCCGGG